CUUGGGGAGGGUCUCCAGGUCCAGACCGGCCGUGUCGAGGGCGGCCCGCACGCGGGCGCGGGAGGCCGCGGCGCGUUCGGCGCGUGGGCGCAGGA
rnacentral:tRNA from 1 species